GCACGAGGAGCACGAUACGAGCAAAAGGACAGGGUCCCGAAAGCGACGCUGAUCAUUUAGUUGGUGUCAAAUGAGCACCACAGAUUCAGAAAUGUUGAGAGCGCUCACUCACACACAGUGCACACACUGGAGCUACCACCUCUCCUCUCCCUUUGCUUCCUCACCAGCUAGCUAGGGUUCAAUUCCCUCCUGCUCCCUCUCUCCCGGCCGGCGACGGCGACGGCACGCGGCGAGGCAUGCGGCCGGUCGGGUUCAUCGCCCCAGCUAGCUAGUUUCAGUCUUCAGAUCGUCCGGUUUGAUUCAGCUCGCAGCGCCGGUGGUGGAGGCCAAUUGAGCUAGGCGAUCGAUCUCUCCGGGGAGAGAGGAGGGAAGAACAAGCUCUUGCUCAUGCUUGUGAGUGUUCUUGAAUUAAUCUUUGAUAGAUCUGUGCAAUUUCAGCUCCUCUUCCAGCUGCUACGUACACAUGCUCUGGGUGGAUUCGCUUCAAUUUUUCUGUGAUUUGUUUCUGCAGUGAAAACCAUAUGUUGCAGUAUUAGACUAGCUACUAGAUCCCCACUCUCCCAAGAACAAUUAAUUCAGCUGGUCUGAUGCUCUUUGGAUUUUAACUUCACUUGUUUCAUUAUCUUCACCAGUGCACGAGCACAGCUUAAUUUGUUGCUGUUUUUUUUUGGGACAAUAUUUCCUAUCCUAUUUUGUUGAACACAUGCAAGGGGGACAUAAAUUCACUUACUCAUUUGGGCAGAACUAUUUUAAAAGAGCAAUUUUAUAAAAGAUCAAAAUUUUACAUUAAAAUUUUGGUACCUCUCGGUACCUUCUUAAGGACUAUAAAAUUGCUCAUUUUAAAAAUACUUAAUUAUAUCCAUAAUAUACUGCUGUGAUAAGCUAGGAGAAGUUUGGUUACUGGCGUUGGUGCUACAGUUCCCUAACAAGAAGUUCUUCUUUUCAGUGCAAAUUCAGUGUGAUGCUCUUUUGUCUUGUGUAGAGAAUAAAGCUGCUUUUUUUUUCUCUUUCAGUGGGAACAGUGUGAUAAUACCGACGCAUCAUCUCAUUUUAUGCUCGAUUCGGUUGAUUUGCAGGUGUGAUCAUGAACUGCUUAAUAUGAUAAGCGGCAGCAACACAAAUGAGGAGCUCAGCGGCGGCAGGAAGGUGGAGCAGCCGAGCGGCGGCG
rnacentral:lncRNA from 1 species